UUCGCCAAUUAAAGUGGUACGUGAGCUGGGUUCAGAACGUCGCGAGACAGUUUGGUCCCUAUCUGCCGUGGGCGUCGAUACUUGAGAGGAGUUGCCCCUAGUACGAGAGGACCGGGGUGAACAUGCCUCUGGUGUACCUGUCGUGGCGCCAGCCGCGCAGCAGGGUAGCUAUGCAUGGACGGGAUAACCGCUGAAAGCAUCUAAGCGGGAAGCCUCCCUCAAGAUAAGGUAUCUUCGAGUCGUGAUAGACCAUCACGUUGAUAGGCCGGGUGUGGAAGUGCGGUAACGCAUGAAGCUAACCGGUCCUAAUAACUCUGUUCAUGCUUGA
rnacentral:rRNA from 1 species